rnacentral:rRNA from 1 species
AGUAAUGUAUGGGGAUCUGCCCGAUAGAGGGGGAUAACUACUGGAAACGGUGGCUAAUACCGCAUAAUGUCUACGGACCAAAGCAGGGGCUCUUCGGACCUUGCACUAUCGGAUGAACCCAUAUGGGAUUAGCUAGUAGGUGGGGUAAAGGCUCACCUAGGCGACGAUCUCUAGCUGGUCUGAGAGGGUGAUCAGCCACACUGGGACUGAGACACGGCCCAG